rnacentral:rRNA from 1 species
UACAGAGGGUGCAAGCGUUGUUCGGAAUUAUUGGGCGUAAAGGGAGUGUAGGCGGCUUUGUAAGUCUUCUGUGAAAUCUACGGGCUAAACCUGUAAAGUGCAGAGGAUACUGUGAGGCUAGAAUGUCAAAGAGGAGAGUGGAAUUCCCGGUGUAGAGGUGAAAUUCGUAGAGAUCGGGAGGAACACCAGUGGCGAAGGCGACUCUCUGGUUGACUAUUGACGCUGAGACUCGAAAGCAUGGGGAGCAAACAGGAUUAGAUACCCUGGUAGUCCAUGCCGUAAACGAUGAUAACUAGAUGUGUGAGGUAUUGACCCCUUACGUGUCGAAGCUAACGCGAUAAGUUAUCCGCCUGGGGAGUACGGUCGCAAGAUUAAA